rnacentral:rRNA from 1 species
UGGUGCCAGCAGCCGCGGUAAUUCCAGCUCCAAUAGCGUAUAUUAAAGUUGUUGCAGUUAAAAAGCUCGUAGUUGGAUCUCGGGCGCCGGCCGGCGGUCCACCCUCACCGGGUGGUACUGCCGCGCUCCGGGCCUACCAUCCGAUCGCGGCCGGUUUGUGCUCUUGGUUGAGUGCCCGGUCUGGUCGGAACGUUUACUUUGAAAAAAUUAGAGUGUUCAAAGCAGGCUCGACGGCCUGAAUAAUGGUGCAUGGAAUAAUGGAAUAGGACCUCGGUUCUAUUUUGUUGGUUUUCGGAACUGGAGGUAAUGAUUAAGAGGGACAGACGGGGGCAUUCGUAUUACGGUGUUAGAGGUGAAAUUCUUGGAUCGCCGUAAGACGAACUACUGCGAAAGCAUUUGCCAAGAAU